GGGGAAUUGGGCGAUCGUCGUAUGCAGUCGAGCGGGGUAGACGUAAACUUGCUCUCUGGGUGACAAGAGGCGGAGGGGAGAGAGGUCUGGGAAACUGCCUGAUGGAGGGGGAUAACUACUGGAAACGGUAGCUAAUACCGCAUGACCUCGCAAGAGCAAAGUGGGGGACCUUCGGGCCUCACGCCAUCGGAUGUGCCCACAUGGGAUUAGCUAGUAGGUGGGGUAAUGGCUCACCUAGGCGACGAUCCCUAGCUGGUCUGAGAGGAUGACCAGCCACACUGGAACUGAGACACGGUCCAGACUCCUACGGGAGGCAGCAGUGGGGAAUAUUGCACAAUGGGCGCAAGCCUGAUGCAGCCAUGCCGCGUGUGUGAAUAACGCCUUAGGGUUGUAAAGCACUUUCAUCGAGGAGGAAGGGUGCAGUGUUAAUAGCAGAGG
rnacentral:rRNA from 1 species